rnacentral:rRNA from 1 species
GACGAACGCUGGCGGCGUGCUUAACACAUGCAAGUCGAACGGGAUCCGGGCUUUCGGGUUUGGUGAGAGUGGCGAACGGGUGAGUAACACGUGAGUAACCUGCCCCCUUCUUUGGGAUAACGUCGGGAAAUCGGCGCUAAUACUGGAUAUUCUUGCUGCAUCGCAUGGUGUGGUUUGGAAAGGGUUUCUGGUGGGGGAUGGGCUCGCGGCCUAUCAGCUUGUUGGUGGGGUGAUGGCCUACCAAGGCUUUGACGGGUAGCCGGCCUGAGAGGGUGUCCGGCCACACUGGGACUGAGACACGGCCCAGACUCCUACGGGAGGCAGCAGUGGGGAAUAUUACACAAUGGGCGCAAGCCUGAUGCAGCGACGCCGCGUGAGGGAUGACGGCCUUCGGGUUGUAAACCUCUUUCAGUAUGGAACAAGGAUCCUUCUUUUGGGGGGUUUGAGGGUACGUGCAGAAGAAGCGCCGGCUAACUACGUG